GGGAGUGUGGCCGAGUGGUCCAAGGCGCCCGCUUCAGGUUACUUUGUAAUGUGAAUGCUGGUCUCGAAAGAGGCGUGAGUUCGAACCUCACCGCUCUCA